rnacentral:rRNA from 1 species
AUUGAACGCUGGCGGAAUGCUUUACACAUGCAAGUCGAACGGCAGCACGGACUUCGGUCUGGUGGCGAGUGGCGAACGGGUGAGUAAUGUAUCGGAACGUGCCCAGUCGUGGGGGAUAACGUAGUGAAAAUUACGCUAAUACCGCAUACGGUCUAUGGAUGAAAGCGGGGGAUCGCAAGACCUCGCGCGAUUGGAGCGGCCGAUAUCAGAUUAGGUAGUUGGUGGGGUAAAGGCCCACCAAGCCAACGAUCUGUAGCUGGUCUGAGAGGACGACCAGCCACACUGGAACUGAGACACGGUCCAGACUCCUACGGGAGGCAGCAGUGGGGAAUAUUGGACAAUGGGCGAAAGCCUGAUCCAGCCAUUCCGCGUGCAGGAUGAAGGCCCUCGGGUUGUAAACUGCUUUUGUACAGAACGAAAAGGUUUCUAUUAAUACUAGGAGCUCAUGACGGUACUGUAAGAAUAAGCACCGGCUAACUACGUGCCAGCCGCCGCGGUAA